rnacentral:rRNA from 1 species
GAUGAACGCUGGCGGCGUGCCUAACACAUGCAAGUCGAGCGCUCCCAGCAAUGGGGGAGCGGCGGACGGGUGAGUAACGCGUAGGAACGUAUCCUGAGGUGGGGGAUAACCCUGGGAAACUAGGGCUAAUACCGCAUGAUGGCGAGAGCCCAAAGAUUUAUCGCCUUGGGAGCGGCCUGCGUCUGAUUAGCUGGUUGGUGGGGUAACGGCCUACCAAGGCGAUGAUCAGUAGCUGGUCUGAGAGGAUGAUCAGCCACACUGGGACUGAGACACGGCCCAGACUCCUACGGGAGGCAGCAGUGGGGAAUAUUGGACAAUGGGCGAAAGCCUGAUCCAGCAAUGCCGCGUGGAUGAAGAAGGUCUUCGGAUUGUAAAGUCCUUUCGGCGGGGACGAUGAUGACGGUACCCGCAGAAGAAGCCCCGGCCUAACUUCGUGCCAGCAGCCGCGGU